AACACCAUAGCUCAGUGGUUAGAGCACUGGUCUUUUAAACCAGGGGUCAUAAGGUUCAAUCCUCACUGGUGGCU
rnacentral:tRNA from 13 species